GUCUGUGGUCAUACCACCCCGAACAUGCCCGAUCUCAUCUGAUCUCGGAAGCUAAGCAGGGUCAGACCUGGUUAGUACUUGGGUGGCAGAUUCCUACACCUAAUGGGCUACUGAAU
rnacentral:rRNA from 1 species